rnacentral:rRNA from 1 species
GGAAUCUUCCACAAUGGACGAAAGUCUGAUGGAGCAACGCCGCGUGAGUGAUGAAGGUUUUCGGAUCGUAAAACUCUGUUGUAAGGGAAGAACAAGUACGAGAGGCAAUGCUCGUACCUUGACGGUACCUUGCGAGAAAGCCACGGCUAACUACGUGCCAGCAGCCGCGGUAAUACGUAGGUGGCAAGCGUUGUCCGGAAUUAUUGGGCGUAAAGCGCGCGCAGGCGGCCUUUUAAGUCUGAUGUGAAAGCCCCCGGCUCAACCGGGGAGGGUCAUUGGAAACUGGAAGGCUUGAGUACAGAAGAGAAGAGUGGAAUUCCAUGUGUAGCGGUGAAAUGCGUAGAGAUGUGGAGGAACACCAGUGGCGAAGGCGACUCUUUGGUCUGUAACUGACGCUGAGGCGCGAAAGCGUGGGGAGCAAACAGGAUUAGAUACCCCAG